GCGUGUUGAGCACAAAGCAAACUAUUCUUUCGCCUUUUACUAAAGAAUAACGUGUGCGAUAACACCCUACAAAUCAAUUUUUAAGAUUUUUGGGUCUUGGGGAGAU
rnacentral:snRNA from 1 species